rnacentral:rRNA from 1 species
GAUGAACGCUAGCGGCAGGCCUAAUACAUGCAAGUCGAACGGGAUCUGAGGGUAGCUUGCUACCCGAUUUGAGAGUGGCGCACGGGUGCGCAACGCGUGAGCAACCUACCCAUAUCAGGGGGAUAGCCCGACGAAAUUCGGAUUAACACCGCAUAAUAAUACGCUAACACAUGUUAAUGUAUUUAAAUAUUUAUAGGAUAUGGAUGGGCUCGCGUGACAUUAGCUAGUUGGUAAGGUAACGGCUUACCAAGGCGACGAUGUCUAGGGGCUCUGAGAGGAGAAUCCCCCACACUGGUACGGAGACACGGACCAGACUCCUACGGGAGGCAGCAGUAAGGAAUAUUGAUCAAUGGGCGCAAGCCUGAACCAGCCAUGCCGCGUGCAGGAGGACUGCCCUAUGGGUUGUAAACUGCUUUUGUUAGGGAAUAAACCUACUUAUGUAUAAGUAGCUGAAUGUACCUAAAGAAUAAGGAUCGGCUAACUCCGUGCCAGCCGCCGCGGUAA